rnacentral:rRNA from 1 species
CUGCAGCUCAAGUGGUGACCACUAUUAUUGGGCCUAAAACGUUCGUAGCCGGUUUGGUAAAUGCCUGGGUAAAUCGUGUAGCUUAACUAUACGAAUUCCGGGUAGACUGCCAAACUUGAGACCGGGAGAAGCUAGGUACUCCUGGGGUAGAGGUGAAAUUCUGUAAUCCUGGGGGGACCACCAGUGGCGAAGGCGUCUAGCUAGAACGGGUCUGACGGUGAGGAACGAAGCCCUGGGGCGCAAACCGGAUUAGAUACCCGAGUAGUCC